rnacentral:tRNA from 1 species
GCCUGGGUGGCUCAGUGGUUGAGCGUCUGCCUUCGACUCAGGGCAUGAUCCUGGAGUCGUGGGAUCAAGUCCCGCAUCAGGCU